GCUGGAAUAGCUCAGUUGGUUAGGGCGUGUGGCUAUUAACCACAAGUUCGAAGGUUCAACCCCUUCUUCUAGCG
rnacentral:tRNA from 1 species